ACUGAGGUAGUUCAGUGGUAGAACGUCCGGCGCUGGGCCCGGAUGGACGUAGGUUCGAGCCCUACCCUCAGUU
rnacentral:tRNA from 1 species